AUAUGUACCUGGCAGGAAAUACCAUAAUCACAAAGGUGGCUUUCCCAGGGUAAGGCACUCCUGAUGUUGUUGACUGCUAUAAUUUUCCCAAAUGUUGGAAACUCGAUUGCAUAAUUCAUGGUAGUGGGGAACUACUUUCAACCUAA
rnacentral:snRNA from 1 species